UAAUAUUGUUUCAAAUCCGUUCCGCCAUAUAACUCCGUCUCGGAAUAUAACUCAUCGCAUAUU
rnacentral:sRNA from 1 species